rnacentral:rRNA from 1 species
AUUAAAGUUCCAACGGGUGAAAGAUGAGCAUGCGUCCCAUUAGCUAGAUGGUAAGGUAACGGCUUACCAUGGCUACGAUGGGUAGGGGUCCUGAGAGGGAGAUCCCCCCACACUGGUACUGAGACACGGACCAGACUCCUACGGGAGGCAGCAGUGAGGAAUAUUGGUCAAUGGACGCAAGUCUGAACCAGCCAUGCCGCGUGCAGGAUGACGGUCCUAUGGAUUGUAACUGCUUUUGUACGAGAAGAAACAACAUUACGUGUAAUGUCUUGACGGUAUCGUAAGAAUAAGGAUCGGCUAACUCCGUG